rnacentral:tRNA from 1 species
GGAGAUGUGGCUCAGUGGUUAAGAGUGCUGGCUGGCUGCUCUUACAGAUGGCCCAGGUUCAAUUCCUGGCACCCACA